AAGUGUGUAAAAUGCGUCUGUCUGCUCCCACAGGACCCCGUGGUUUAAUGGAUGGGGCUUUAACUUACCUCGUGGCCAGUCUCUCCUCGAUAAGUGGAACCAGAUCCCUGAAGAUGUAGAUAUUCUUAUGACACAUGGGCCUCCUCUGGGGUUCAGAGAUUGGGUCCCAAAAGAACUUCAGAGAGUUGGCUGCGUGGAACUACUCAACACAGUACAAAAGAGGGUCCGACCCAAACUCCACGCAUAUGGGGGAAUCCAUGAAGGCUAUGGUAUAAUGACAGAUGGCUAUACAACAUUUAUCAACUCCUCCACAUGUACAGUCAGCUUCCAGCCUACCAAUCCACCAAUCAUAUUUGAUCUCCCCAACCCUGGAAACUCCUGAGACUCAUUAAACCCCACCCCUUUUUCUACAUAACUUUUCCUUACUUAAAAGUAAGUCUUUUUGUACUGCUUGUAUUUAAAAAUGCAUGGAAAUGUAAUUUUUUUUUAAAGUCGGAUUGAAGCCGACACCAUUUGAAUGACUAUUGUAGGUAAAGAAUAAAUUGUGAAUUCAUAUAUGUAAGUUGUUUGCAUCAGUUGCCUUCUGUUUUUUUCUUUUUUUAUUGGUCAGGAUCUUAAAAAGUGCAUUAUAAAGGUACUCCCAAAAGCGUCAGCAAUACUUGACCAUGUCUUAUUUAAUAUUAAUUGUGCUUUGUAAAUUUAAUAUAAACUUAUUUAAAGUUAUGAACUCUUUGUGUGGUGUAUUCAAUUUUGGAUUUAAAUGAGUAAGUGCGUACUUCACCCCGUCAAAGGGUUCAAUGGGUCUGAUAUUUAUUACUCCAAUCAGACUUUGCUCUUUUCUCAUCAAGAAGACACAUCUUUAUCUACCAGGCCAUUAAACACCAUAAGACAAGCAUUCUUCCUUUCAACAUAAAAUAGAGUGGCACAGUUUAUCAAAAGAUGGAAGCGAUUGUGUGUUGUGAAUUGAAUUUCGCAUUAUUGCUAUGCUGCUUUUGUCCUACAAUUACAGUUUAGAAAAGGCUGAAUAUGCAAAUUCUCCAGAUCAUAAAGAUACUGUACCUGGUCUGAUUUAGCAUUUAGCACAUAUUAAAAGUGGACGAGAACUUUCAAUAUAAUUGGGUCUGCCUCAGGAGAUAUACAGAGAUAAAUCUGGUAUCUCUCUGUAAAGAUUCAAACACAAUUGUUUAUCCCAGAUUUGCAAAAGCUUCUCAUUCUAUUGGUUUCAAAACUGGAAAUGACAUUACAACACUAAGCCAUUUCAUUUCUCCUCAUCUCCAUUUUUAGUUGUUGUAAUAAUGUGCAUUGUAUAUUUCACUGUGGAUCUGCAAUCUUGAGCACAAAAAAGUUUUCUGUAUUUUCUGCUAUUGUGAAUGCUUUCUUUAUAUGUUUUGUGACUUUUUUAUCCAUUGU